AAAAAACCAAAAUGGCUCCCCCACAUCACUCUUCAUCAUCUUCUUCUCCUUUGAUAAUUCUCAAAACCAUAUUCGUUAUCCUUCUUCAAUCACCUAAAGGGACUAGAUCCCAAUCAAGCCUAUGUAUAAAUUAUAGUGGAAAUAUUCCCAUAAAUUAUCCAUUUGGGAUCAACGACGGUUGUGGAAGCCCUUAUUACAAACACAUGUUGGCUUGUUCCGACAACGCCAAACUGAGAACUCCAUCUGGAAGAUACCCAGUUAAAUCCAUAAGCUACUCCUAUCUUCACAUCCUUGUCUCAGACCCUUUCAUGUGGAGUUGCGACAAUAGAGAGAAUUUUCGACCCACCUUUGAAUUUUCGACAAAGGAUGAAACACUAGGUUUGGAAAGAGGAUGAAAUUAGGGCUUCGCGUUUUUUUGUUUUGAUUUUCUCUCUUUCGAUUUUUCCAUCUUUAAAAUUUUAGGGAUUUUUUCGUUUCGUACCGGUUUAUUAAACCGGGGUUAGAUCGGUUUUGGACCGUUUUCGUUUAAAAAAAUUGUUGAUGUGUCAAACUUUUAAAUAAAAUCGCUGACGUAUCAACAAUCCGACAAUAUAUAAAUUUCCAUUCGUCUGAAAAAUUGAUCAAAGUGAUCAACGGUUUUAUAGACUUCGAAGUUUUUUUCCAGUUACAAAUUACAAGUCUGAAUAUUAAUUGACAGUUUUUCAAAUUUAAAAGUUUUUUUUUUAUAUUUUAACAAGUUCGAAAGUUUUUGGUGAUUUUAUCCUUAAAAAAAAAAAGAUAAAUUUGUUUACGAGGACCAAAAAGCGGAAAUGUUCGGGAAAUAAUGUCAUUUCCAACCUAAGUUUUCCUCUCUUCGUUCCCACGCAGACUCGCCAUCCAUCGUUGUUGUCUUCUACCACCGCGUUGUCUCUGCUUCGACCGUCCACAUCUCAUCUCUCCCGUCACUGCUUCGUCGGCUACUUGUUUACACCUCUGUCUCACUUUCAUCGCACUCGGCCGAAAAUCGAGCCCUAACUUUGUCUCAGUUAAGCAGCCGUAUGGUGGCAGUGAAAAUUUCUUCCUUGGGCCCCAUAUGUCUUUUGUUUUGUUAGGCAAAACUUGCCUAUAAAUGAAGGCUUCGCAACAAGGGGGAGAGACAACACAGAGCGAGCGAGAGCAAGAAGCAGAAGGAAAAAAAAAAGUUGGGAGAGUGAAAAAAGUGAGAAAAAUAGUGUGGGUAUUUGGGAAGAGAUUCGAUCUAGAUGUUUUAUCUGAUCGAUCUAAAAUUGUGAGGAGAGUUUUACACUCAUACAAAGGUUUUUCAGAAGCUGUUCUCUACAGACCUAGUCUGCAUAGUUCUGAUCGUCGGGAUAUAUGACGGUGGUUUUUCGUCUCCAGUUGAGUUGCAAAUCGGUAUAAUUGUUCCUGACCCUUUUGUCUUUGAUUUUUACGGUUUGAGUUGUUGACGAAAUCAGAAGUCACGGGUUGAUUUGCAGUUUUGUUACUACUUGUGGUCGGGUAAUAUUCUCUCGGGUUACUGAGAUUAGAAUAUUGGAGUUAAUAUUUUGUAAUCUCAGUAUGUUGCUGUGUGAAUGUUGUAAUCUAAUUAUAAUGAAUUUUUGGGUGGACUAUACAGUCUUGUGGUUUUUAGUCUCACACCGAUGGGGUUUUCCACGUUAAAAAUCGUUGUCCCUUUUAUUUCGGUACCGUUGCACUAGAUAUUGUCAUGCUCGCAGGUUUACACAAGUAAGGGGUUUGUCUUACUGAUUCAUAACAAACAAUCGAAGUAACGUAAAACCCCCAACAAUUACCAGCAGUGUAUAUUGUUUGUCUGUGAUUAUCAGUUCUUCGAUUUUUGUCUGCACGUGAUUUGAUUUGUUUUCCAAUGUCGUCUGGAACUUAUUUUAGAGAUUGCACUGGUGACUGAAUGCAUUGGUUACUGCGAUCGCGGUGUUGUUCCUCUUGGGUAUAAGCUGAUCGAUGUUUGGCUAUCAGAUCAUUCCGUUCUUGAAGGUUGUUUACUUGUUUGUAUAUGAGCUCUGCUUGAAGCUUAAUUUGUUCUCCUUGUAUUUUCUGGAGUCAUUGAGGCAACCCUAAUGGAUUUAUGGUUUACAUUU